GAUGAAGAACGUAGCGAAAUGCGAUAAGUAAUGUGAAUUGCAGAAUUCAGUGAAUCAUCGAAUCUUUGAACGCACAUUGCGCCCCUUGGUAUUCCGAGGGGCAUGCCUGUUCGAGCGUCAUUAUAACCCUUCAAGCUCAGCUUGGUGUUGGGGCCUGCUGUAACUGGUAGCCCUUAAAAUCAGUGGCAGUGCUAUUAGGCUCUAAGCGUAGUAAUUCUUCUCGCUCUGGAGGUCCGGUCGUGUGCUCGCCAGCAACCCCCAAUUUUUUUCAGGUUGACCUCGGAUCAGGUAGGGAUACCCGCUGAACUUAAGCAUAUCAAUAAGCGGAGGA
rnacentral:misc_RNA from 1 species